rnacentral:rRNA from 1 species
GCCUAGCCCUAAAUCUCGACACUUACACUACUAAAGUGUCCGCCCGAGAACUACGAGCACAAACGCUUAAAACUCUAAGGACUUGGCGGUGUCCCAAACCCACCUAGAGGAGCCUGUUCUAUAAUCGAUAACCCACGAUACACCCAACCGCCCCUCGCCUAAAGCAGCCUACAUACCGCCGUCGUCAGCUCACCUCCCUUGAAAGAGUAACAGUGAGCACAAUAGUCCCUUCCCACUAACAAGACAGGUCAAGGUAUAGCUUAUGGAGCGGAAGAAAUGGGCUACAUUUUCUAAGCUAGAAAACCCCCACGGAAAGGGGCGUGCAAACCCCCCUAGAAGGCGGAUUUAGCAGUAAAGUGGGACCAUAAAGCCCCCUUUAAACCGGCCCUGGGAUACGU